AAGAAAUUAGUUAACUUAUAUAACAUUAGUAUGUCAAACUAAAAUUAUCGAUAGAUAUUUCUUU
rnacentral:tRNA from 1 species